rnacentral:tRNA from 1 species
CGAGAUAGCUCAGCUAGGUAGAGCAACCGACUCAUAAUCGGUCCGUCGCAGGUUCAACUCCUGCUCUCAA